AAACUAACCCUUUAGAUUUCAUUGAACAUCAACCAAUAACAACAACCACCUCAUGAGGAGCCACUCUACGAAAGAACUAAUAAUAUGGAGAAUACUAUUCAAGAAACAUAUAAAAUAGUGGGAGUAAGGAGAUCUUCAAGAAUUAAAAAGGUUUGCAAUUUUUAGCGAUUAUAUGGUGUACCUUCAAGAGUCUGACCAUGAUAUUUGACCUAAAGAUGAUCCAAAUUCAUUUUGACAAGCCAUUAAUGAAAAAAUUUUCACACUUUGAUAUGAUACUAUGAAGGAAG
rnacentral:lncRNA from 1 species